rnacentral:rRNA from 2 species
UAAGCGACUAAGCGUACACGGUGGAUGCCCUGGCAGUCAGAGGCGAUGAAGGACGUGCUAAUCUGCGAUAAGCGUCGGUGAGGUGAUAUGAACCGUUAUAACCGGCGAUUUCCGAAUGGGGAAACCCAGUGUGUUUCGACACACUAUCAUUAACUGAAUCCAUAGGUUAAUGAGGCGAACCGGGGGAACUGAAACAUCUAAGUACCCCGAGGAAAAGAAAUCAACCGAGAUUCCCCCAGUAGCGGCGAGCGAACGGGGAGGAGCCCAGAGCCUGAAUCAGUGUGUGUGUUAGUGGAAGCGUCUGGAAAGGCGUGCGAUACAGGGUGACAGCCCCGUACACAAAAAUGCACAUAUUGUGAGCUCGAUGAGUAGGGCGGGACACGUGGUAUCCUGUCUGAAUAUGGGGGGACCAUCCUCCAAGGCUAAAUACUCCUGACUGACCGAUAGUGAACCAGUACCGUGAGGGAAAGGCGAAAAGAACCCCGGCGAGGGGAGUGAAAAAGAACCUGAAACCGUGUACGUACAAGCAGUGGGAGCCUCUUAAUGGGGUGACUGCGUACCUUUUGUAUAAUGGGUCAGCGACUUAUAUUCUGUAGCAAGGUUAACCGAAUAGGGGAGCCGAAGGGAAACCGAGUCUUAACUGGGCGUUAAGUUGCAGGGUAUAGACCCGAAACCCGGUGAUCUAGCCAUGGGCAGGUUGAAGGUUGGGUAACACUAACUGGAGGACCGAACCGACUAAUGUUGAAAAAUUAGCGGAUGACUUGUGGCUGGGGGUGAAAGGCCAAUCAAACCGGGAGAUAGCUGGUUCUCCCCGAAAGCUAUUUAGGUAGCGCCUCGUGAAUUCAUCUCCGGGGGUAGAGCACUGUUUCGGCAAGGGGGUCAUCCCGACUUACCAACCCGAUGCAAACUGCGAAUACCGGAGAAUGUUAUCACGGGAGACACACGGCGGGUGCUAACGUCCGUCGUGAAGAGGGAAACAACCCAGACCGCCAGCUAAGGUCCCAAAGUCAUGGUUAAGUGGGAAACGAUGUGGGAAGGCCCAGACAGCCAGGAUGUUGGCUUAGAAGCAGCCAUCAUUUAAAGAAAGCGUAAUAGCUCACUGGUCGAGUCGGCCUGCGCGGAAGAUGUAACGGGGCUAAACCAUGCACCGAAGCUGCGGCAGCGACACUAUGUGUUGUUGGGUAGGGGAGCGUUCUGUAAGCCUGUGAAGGUGGCCUGUGAGGGUUGCUGGAGGUAUCAGAAGUGCGAAUGCUGACAUAAGUAACGAUAAAGCGGGUGAAAAGCCCGCUCGCCGGAAGACCAAGGGUUCCUGUCCAACGUUAAUCGGGGCAGGGUGAGUCGACCCCUAAGGCGAGGCCGAAAGGCGUAGUCGAUGGGAAACAGGUUAAUAUUCCUGUACUUGGUGUUACUGCGAAGGGGGGACGGAGAAGGCUAUGUUGGCCGGGCGACGGUUGUCCCGGUUUAAGCGUGUAGGCUGGUUUUCCAGGCAAAUCCGGAAAACCAAGGCUGAGGCGUGAUGACGAGGCACUACGGUGCUGAAGUGACAAAUGCCCUGCUUCCAGGAAAAGCCUCUAAGCAUCAGGUAACAUCAAAUCGUACCCCAAACCGACACAGGUGGUCAGGUAGAGAAUACCAAGGCGCUUGAGAGAACUCGGGUGAAGGAACUAGGCAAAAUGGUGCCGUAACUUCGGGAGAAGGCACGCUGAUAUGUAGGUGAAGCGACUUGCUCGUGGAGCUGAAAUCAGUCGAAGAUACCAGCUGGCUGCAACUGUUUAUUAAAAACACAGCACUGUGCAAACACGAAAGUGGACGUAUACGGUGUGACGCCUGCCCGGUGCCGGAAGGUUAAUUGAUGGGGUUAGCGGUAACGCGAAGCUCUUGAUCGAAGCCCCGGUAAACGGCGGCCGUAACUAUAACGGUCCUAAGGUAGCGAAAUUCCUUGUCGGGUAAGUUCCGACCUGCACGAAUGGCGUAAUGAUGGCCAGGCUGUCUCCACCCGAGACUCAGUGAAAUUGAACUCGCUGUGAAGAUGCAGUGUACCCGCGGCAAGACGGAAAGACCCCGUGAACCUUUACUAUAGCUUGACACUGAACAUUGAGCCUUGAUGUGUAGGAUAGGUGGGAGGCUUUGAAGUGUGGACGCCAGUCUGCAUGGAGCCGACCUUGAAAUACCACCCUUUAAUGUUUGAUGUUCUAACGUUGGCCCGUAAUCCGGGUUGCGGACAGUGUCUGGUGGGUAGUUUGACUGGGGCGGUCUCCUCCUAAAGAGUAACGGAGGAGCACGAAGGUUGGCUAAUCCUGGUCGGACAUCAGGAGGUUAGUGCAAUGGCAUAAGCCAGCUUGACUGCGAGCGUGACGGCGCGAGCAGGUGCGAAAGCAGGUCAUAGUGAUCCGGUGGUUCUGAAUGGAAGGGCCAUCGCUCAACGGAUAAAAGGUACUCCGGGGAUAACAGGCUGAUACCGCCCAAGAGUUCAUAUCGACGGCGGUGUUUGGCACCUCGAUGUCGGCUCAUCACAUCCUGGGGCUGAAGUAGGUCCCAAGGGUAUGGCUGUUCGCCAUUUAAAGUGGUACGCGAGCUGGGUUUAGAACGUCGUGAGACAGUUCGGUCCCUAUCUGCCGUGGGCGCUGGAGAACUGAGGGGGGCUGCUCCUAGUACGAGAGGACCGGAGUGGACGCAUCACUGGUGUUCGGGUUGUCAUGCCAAUGGCACUGCCCGGUAGCUAAAUGCGGAAGAGAUAAGUGCUGAAAGCAUCUAAGCACGAAACUUGCCCCGAGAUGAGUUCUCCCUGACUCCUUGAGAGUCCUGAAGGAACGUUGAAGACGACGACGUUGAUAGGCCGGGUGUGUAAGCGCAGCGAUGCGUUGAGCUAACCGGUACUAAUGAACCGUGAGGCUUAACCU